GGGGGCAGAGUGGGAUUUGUAGAUUACAGGGUCUGAUGGAGGCUUGCCUGCUGACCUGUUAGUGUGGCUGAGUGUGGUUGCCAAACCUAUUGACAGGUGGGAAAGGACCUAGAAACCUGUGGAAUAUUUUUCGAGCAUUUAUGUUCAUAACCUUCUUGUGCCACCCUAUUCUUUCUACCCAUCUUCCUCUUCCAUUAUAAAUGGGGAAAUAAAAGCACAAAUCGUUACUAAAGCAUCCAGAGAAGCUGCAGAGAUGAAAGCAGAACUGGAGGUAACAGUAGAUGAAGAUGCAUAGCUGGAAACACGCACAAUAAUUUCUUUCAGGUGUGUGAUGUCACUCCCCGUGACUGAUGUGGAUCCUGGGAACAGUGGCAGGAGACUGAUAGCCCGCCUUUAACCCUUUCCAAGGGAGCCAUCUUGCAGGCAGAUGCUGACCACCAUGCCUAUGCAUCUCUUAG